GAUGAACGCUAGCGACAGGCCUAACACACGCAAGUCGAGGGGCAUCAAGUAAACAGCUUGCUGUUUAUGUUGGCGACCGGCGCACGGGUGAGUAACGCGUAUGCAACCUACCUACUACAGGGGAAUAGCCCGGAGAAAUUCGGAUUAAUACCGCAUAACACAGGGGUUCCGCAUGGAACUAUUUGUUAAAGAUUUAUCGGUAGAAGAUGGGCAUGCGUUCCAUUAGCCAGUUGGUGAGGUAACGGCUCACCAAAGCAACGAUGGAUAGGGGAACUGAGAGGUUUAUCCCCCACACUGGAACUGAGACACGGACCAGACUCCUACGGGAGGCAGCAGUGAGGAAUAUCGGUCAAUGGGCGAGAGCCUGAACCAGCCAAGUCGCGUGAAGGAAGACUGCCUUAUGGGUUGUAAACUUCUUUUAUAUGAGAAUAAAAAGAGAUACGUGUAUCUCAUUGCAAGUAUCAUAUGAAUAAGCAUCGGCUAACUCCGGGCCAGCCGCCGCGGUAAGAC
rnacentral:rRNA from 1 species